UGCACGCGCGCACACACACACACACACACAGAGACACACACACACACACACACGCGCACAGACACACAGACACGCACACACGCACCCGCCCGCUGGGCUCCGCUCCCGAGCUGCCUCAGCAAGGAGGAGCCCGGACAGAAAACACCAGGGCAGCAAGGAUUUGGAAGUGGAGUUCCUGGAGAGUGAACCUGGCAAUGAGUGUGGGUUUCCCUGCAAGCUGAGGCUGUUUCUUAUUCCCUAGGAGACUGAGAAGAGAGGGGACCCUGGAUGCCAGCCCACUCUCCGGUUUUUAUUUGUCUUGACUCUGAGGCAGAUUUCCUCUUUCAGCUCUGGGAACUGACAGUGUCCACCCCCAGAUGUUUGCUUGCCUAAUCUUCGACAGGAACUACAGAAAGUCCUGCUCGUCCUGCUUAUCCCUGAUGGCUGGAAUUGUACAGUCAAAACCCUAUACAGAAUAAGUGUUCACAUAUAUUUUUAUCUAUUUAUGCUGACAGCUCCAUUCUGAGCUUUUUUAGCGUCCUGAUUUGAGGGAAGUGGGUGCAGAUCUCAUUCAAAUAAUCAUUCUCCAAUACCAUUAGCAUUACCUGCCAAAAAUGAAAGUGGCAUAUGAAUCACAGUAAGACACUCAUGAGUUUGUGGAUUUAGAGCCUGCCAAGGAACACCAGGAAUCCACAUGAUUUCAAAGCCCCAUGAGUUUUAGGGACUUUGAACAAUGUGAAAAAGUACAUUUAUCCAAAGACCAUCUUAUUGAUGACCCGUUCUAUAAGGACUACAGACAUAACCAAUUCGAGUGAAGGACAAUAUUAACUGAAAAUAUUUUCGUUUAAAACUUUCUGUUUCACGUGAGGUAGUGGAAGUGGUGAAUCUGCUAAUGGAAACUACAUCAGAGCCUCUUCCUGAGGUGCCCCAGUGAUGUGGAAAUACGCUUUUGUGUGAGAAGAGCUAUUGGAUCCUCUGGGAAAUACCACAGAUGCUUUCCAGUUCCCUUCAGACAUGGUCCGUAUUCCCAGGCCCUGAUGCUACACCCUACCUCAGUCCAUUCAGCUUCUCUCCAAGAUGGUAACUAUUUUCUGCUCCACAUCUCUGUUACAGGAGAUCUUCUGAUUACCUAAAAAAGUAAACUGCAUCCUGUAAAUUUCCUCUUAAAAAUUCUGCUUUAUGGAAGAAAAAAUCAACUUGUUGCAGGUGCACCAAAGACAUCAAACUCGCUUCUGUUUUGCCUGACUGCCCUCUCCAUCUUCUGUCAGUCUAAAAUUAUCAUGUUUCAAAGGAUUGAAAGAGUUGUAUUAAUAUUUGCGUGAACCACUCUUCCUGCACAUCGUCUGUUCUUUUUUCCUUCCCCUUGGUGUCUGGUUUGUCUUGGCUGCUUUUAAAAAUUCUGCUGCCUCUAGUGAGGGACAGCCAGAUUAAACCAGUGAAAAGAAACCAGGUGACUGUCUACUUUUACAAAUAUAGGUUGUGUGUAAUCAAGUUUUACAUCUAUGCAAAUUAAAUCAUCAUAUGAUUCUGACUACAUGCAUUUUUUAUCAAAUAUGGCAUAUAUUUCACAAAUUAUAUUUAACUUAUAGUCAUGUUGCUAUUCUGAAUACAUAACUAGGAGUUACAAGGUGUGCCACUAGACUGUAGUAAAUAGGUUUAUGAAAACAGAAGAAAUAAGAAAAAAUUAACUUUUUUUUCUUGUAUUCUUGGUAAGUCCAGGGGAAAGGCUUUUCCUGCUAUAGGGGAUAAUAAAAACACCUCACCGCUGAGCUGUUUAUAGACGCAAGUACAUCUUCUUAUUAGAAGUGUAGAGAUUUUGUAAAGGCCUAAACAGAACAUGGCCAGAAUAAGGAAGUUUUAAAACAAUGUGUCUUUGCUCUGGAGUUUACCACAUCUAGUUAUUAAGGCCUUCCACUAAUGUUUCUGUCAUGGGGUGAAACACAUUAGUCACAAUGUCAAAAUAAACAUUUUACUUCCACAAAACUGUGUUUUCACCUCAGGAAUAUUGUGAGGUGAAAACAGGAUUUAGCACCAUUCUUCCUUUGGGGUUUAUCGACAGACAGGGUGGUUUUAGUGUAAAGCCCUAAGCCUUGCAAUAUAAUUCCAACUAUAGGUGCACCAUACUUUGAAUAAUCCAUCUGUCAGCUGAGCUAUGACAGGGAUUAUGCUGUGAAGGUAACAACUCAAUGCUUUCAAUGUUAACUGUCCUCGGCAACCACUGUUGGGUUUUUUACUAAAUAAAAAGAUAUUUUGGUGAGCA